rnacentral:lncRNA from 1 species
GGUGACAGUUUCCCAACUGCCUGCCGCUGGGCUGGCCUUUCCCAGGGCCAGCACAGCUGACUUGGCUCUCAUUAAGGCAAAGAGGCAUUAAGAUGCUCACCGCUCCCCUGGGAAAGGGCCAAAGCCAGCCACACGCCAUUCAGGACUGCUGGGACCUGUUCUGGGUUGCUGGACCUCACACAGUAUCUAUCACCUGCCCAGGUCCCACAGGUCCCACAAGGCGCUCUGUUCCAGGCCCAUUUCAAUGGCCACAGCACAGAGCCAUGGGGAGAGGGACAACAUUGGGGAGAGAGGACCAAAGCCCCGGUGCUCACCCUCGCAGCUGUCUGGAGGGAGCCAAGGAGGCUGUGGCCCUCUUGGACAGGGGCCUCUAUGCCAGAGCAACAGAAGACAGAGGCAGCCCAGAGCUGCCAACCAAACACACGGGUGGGGUGGGGUGGGGUGUAAAGAACAGAACAGAAAGCACUGAGAAGGGAAAGGGAAGCUGGUGGCAGGAGCCCCCUCCAGGUGAGAAAGUGGAGGUGCCUGGUCCUUCCACCAUGGUGGGGCUGUGCACUGCACAAGGUGUGUGGGGUGCUCCUGGGCAGGGCUGCUUGGCAUUUCCAGUUGGCUGUGUUCAGGCCCAGCAUACCCGCCAGAGCCACCACUCCAGGAUCAGAGCUGAGAAGCUUUGGUGGGUCCAAGGACACCAGGGCAGCUGGUUCUGCCCCUGCAGGGCUGCUGGCUUCAGCCAUACAGGGGACACGUAA